UACGAAGGGGGCUAGCGUUGUUCGGAAUCACUGGGCGUAAAGGGCGCGUAGGCGGCGCGACAAGUCAGGCGUGAAAGCCCCGGGCUCAACCCGGGAAUUGCGCUUGAUACUGUCGUGCUUGAGGCCGGGAGAGGAUGGCGGAAUUCCCAGUGUAGAGGUGAAAUUCGUAGAUAUCGGGAGGAACACCUGUGGCGAAGGCGGCCAUCUGGACGGUAACUGACGCUGAGACGCGAAAGCGUGGGUAGCAAACAGG
rnacentral:rRNA from 1 species